rnacentral:antisense_RNA from 11 species
ACGGCGACAACGCUCUUUCGUGAGCGUUAAACAGAUGAGUCCGCGACCAUGGGUUGCCAUAAAAUUGAUCGCUGCUGGCGUAAUGUGCUCAGCCGCCAUGAUCA